rnacentral:rRNA from 1 species
GGUUAAGCGACUAAGCGUACACGGUGGAUGCCCUGGCAGUCAGAGGCGAUGAAGGACGUGCUAAUCUGCGAUAAGCGUCGGUGAGGUGAUAUGAACCGUUAUAACCGGCGAUUUCCGAAUGGGGAAACCCAGUGUGUUUCGACACACUAUCAUUAACUGAAUCCAUAGGUUAAUGAGGCGAACCGGGGGAACUGAAACAUCUAAGUACCCCGAGGAAAAGAAAUCAACCGAGAUUCCCCCAGUAGCGGCGAGCGAACGGGGAGGAGCCCAGAGCCUGAAUCAGUGUGUGUGUUAGUGGAAGCGUCUGGAAAGGCGCGCGAUACAGGGUGACAGCCCCGUACACAAAAAUGCACAUAUUGUGAGCUCGAUGAGUAGGGCGGGACACGUGGUAUCCUGUCUGAAUAUGGGGGGACCAUCCUCCAAGGCUAAAUACUCCUGACUGACCGAUAGUGAACCAGUACCGUGAGGGAAAGGCGAAAAGAACCCCGGCGAGGGGAGUGAAAAAGAACCUGAAACCGUGUACGUACAAGCAGUGGGAGCCUCUUAAUGGGGUGACUGCGUACCUUUUGUAUAAUGGGUCAGCGACUUAUAUUCUGUAGCAAGGUUAACCGAAUAGGGGAGCCGAAGGGAAACCGAGUCUUAACUGGGCGUUAAGUUGCAGGGUAUAGACCCGAAACCCGGUGAUCUAGCCAUGGGCAGGUUGAAGGUUGGGUAACACUAACUGGAGGACCGAACCGACUAAUGUUGAAAAAUUAGCGGAUGACUUGUGGCUGGGGGUGAAAGGCCAAUCAAACCGGGAGAUAGCUGGUUCUCCCCGAAAGCUAUUUAGGUAGCGCCUCGUGAAUUCAUCUCCGGGGGUAGAGCACUGUUUCGGCAAGGGGGUCAUCCCGACUUACCAACCCGAUGCAAACUGCGAAUACCGGAGAAUGUUAUCACGGGAGACACACGGCGGGUGCUAACGUCCGUCGUGAAGAGGGAAACAACCCAGACCGCCAGCUAAGGUCCCAAAGUCAUGGUUAAGUGGGAAACGAUGUGGGAAGGCCCAGACAGCCAGGAUGUUGGCUUAGAAGCAGCCAUCAUUUAAAGAAAGCGUAAUAGCUCACUGGUCGAGUCGGCCUGCGCGGAAGAUGUAACGGGGCUAAACCAUGCACCGAAGCUGCGGCAGCGACACUAUGUGUUGUUGGGUAGGGGAGCGUUCUGUAAGCCUGUGAAGGUGGCCUGUGAGGGUUGCUGGAGGUAUCAGAAGUGCGAAUGCUGACAUAAGUAACGAUAAAGCGGGUGAAAAGCCCGCUCGCCGGAAGACCAAGGGUUCCUGUCCAACGUUAAUCGGGGCAGGGUGAGUCGACCCCUAAGGCGAGGCCGAAAGGCGUAGUCGAUGGGAAACAGGUUAAUAUUCCUGUACUUGGUGUUACUGCGAAGGGGGGACGGAGAAGGCUAUGUUGGCCGGGCGACGGUUGUCCCGGUUUAAGCGUGUAGGCUGGUUUUCCAGGCAAAUCCGGAAAACCAAGGCUGAGGCGUGAUGACGAGGCACUACGGUGCUGAAGCGACAAAUGCCCUGCUUCCAGGAAAAGCCUCUAAGCAUCAGGUAACAUCAAAUCGUACCCCAAACCGACACAGGUGGUCAGGUAGAGAAUACCAAGGCGCUUGAGAGAACUCGGGUGAAGGAACUAGGCAAAAUGGUGCCGUAACUUCGGGAGAAGGCACGC